CGCACUGCUAUGUUAUAUUUGUGGCGAGUUUUAACUGCCACAAAAUGUCAAAUAAAAUCCUACGCAAAUUCCUCCUCCUUUCUUUCCCCCAUUCUUUCUUUUCCUUGUCCCCCUUUUUUCUUUUCCCCCAGCUCGAUACUCCCUCUAUAUUCUCUGUGAGUUUGCUGCUGCCCUUCCUAAGCCAUGUCUACCGCCAUGUUGUUGCCACAUCAUCGAGGAGUGUGAUGGAGUAUGAAGAGCAAGAAAAAGGUCAUGUGUGGAGUGUUGAUUUUUCGCAUACAGAACCAUCGAUGCUUGUAUCCGCCAUAGAGAGCUCUGUGCAAUGGCAAGGACAUGUUUACCUAAUAUGUGGUAUCUUUUGGAACAAUAGAACCUUUCAAGUAUGAAACACUUUGCCUAAUAUGCGGUAUGUGGACUCAUUACAUUCUCUCAGAUUUGUUCAUCCAAUAAUCAUAAACAAGAGGUUCAACAUUUGAAAAGACAAUUACUUAUUGCCACAGAAGAAAGAAAUAAACUGGAGAAAGCAUGCAUGUAGAGCAGAUACUUUUGAGCCAUCAACUAAUGGAUGAAAUAAAAUUCAACCGGAAGUGAAACUUAUCCAAGAUUGCAUUUGGUGAAUCUAUUGCAAACAUAUUUCUGAGGAUGUUUUGUCAAUGCAUGAUACAUGUGAAAUCCAUGUGUCAUGUUUGCAUCUUCAACUUUUAUAUGAUGUUUACCUUGUAGAGGACUUUAUUUUUAGUCUUUUGGUUAA